CUCAUGCCGUCUGUCUCUCUCAAAACACACUUAAAAAAAUUUUUUUUAAAUAAAAAAAUAGUAAAUAAUCAGCUUCCAGAGGGUGUGUCCCGUGGAAAGAAACAGGAAGUCUCCUGCUAUGGGCCAAAGAUAGAGAACGGCAGUGAGGAUACUCUGUGCACGUGGGAAGGGAAUGCUACCUCUAUCCAGAUCACCCAGCCACCAAAGCUCUGCUUCACCGUACCUGCAGCGUGACACAGGUCCCCCCACAUGGUGGCUUCCAGGUUGCCACCCUGGCUGGAGCCUGAUGCAGUCAGAAACAGCAGCACACAGCAGCCCUGGUGUGCUUGGAGGGCCACGUACGUUCCUCCGGGGGGCGGGGGGCGGCUGGGGUCUCCCCGCUGAUCUCGUAGCCUUGAGAGUCAUUUACAAAGAACCUGCCUCAUAUAUUUGUAGAUUAGUUGGAUUUUGAAGUCUGCCAAUCAACCUACCCUCAGAAUGCCUGUGUGUGUGUGUGUGUGUGUGUGUGUGCGCGCGCGCGCAUCUGAUUGGUUAUUCAACAAACCAGCACGGCCCCCGUCCCUCCGCAACACGCCGUAAGACAUAAAAGUACCCACAAGUUGGUAAAAUAUAUUUUAUUCGUCCAUACAAAGAAAUAGUAUGAAUUACCAGAUUUUCAUUUUCCUAGAAACCUCUUUUCUCUGUGUAAAAUUAAUCUGUGUUAUACAUAGGACAAAAUACUUGAUUUAGUUGUUUUUUUUUUUUUGUUUUGUUUUUUUGUACAUAUUGGCUAUUCUAACAUCCAGGUUAUAGAAGACACGUCGCCAGAAUUUGCACAGUAUUUCAGAUUCCUGGGCUGAAUGAACUCCGAAGAGCACACGUCUGAACUUCAGC